CUCUCGGUGCCCCCUCCCGCUGCAUCCCCAUCCCCUUCUCUUCUUUGUGGAUGCGCCCGCCCAGGUCACCGGUGACCAUCACCACCAGAGCCCUCCCCCACGUCGUCGGAUGGAGUUGUCUCUUUGGCUAGGCUAGGGUCAUUCCCGAGGUGUGGAGGCGCCCCAGUUCCCCAUCUCCCCGCCUCAGUGAUGAAGAGGUGCGAGAUGGAUGUGGGGAGGAGUGGGCAUGGUGCAGUGCCGAAGGAGGCGUUGGUAUGGUGGCGGCGUCGGGAGCGAUUGGAGGUAACCCAUAUCCGAGCAGUACUUCACUCCAAUCGCAUGACACGCUACUCCCACCAGUGAGGCUAAAUCCCCAUAUUAUCCAUCCAAAUCUGUUGUGUUCUCUGAAUGAUGUGCUGUGAGCUUCAUGGUUGGGUGCAGACUCCUACUUAAAGAUUUCGAUCUAAACAGUUUCCGGGAUGGAUGAGUGGUGUGACUAAUUUUUUUAUGAAAAUUCCAAGGUUUCCGUGUGGUUUCAGUAAAAUUUGUUGAUUGGGAUAAGUUUGAUUGAUCUGAUGAUUUUGUCGUUUCUUACUGUCAAGAAAAGGUUGACCUCAUGUUGUUUAUUCUUUAUUAUAUGGGAUUUAUUUUGCAGGACGGAAUUUUGUGGGCAGAGUAGUAAGAACUGCCAAUUAAUCGACUUAAUUAUACAUAUUUUCUGUUUGCAUUAUAAAUCAGUUCAGUUUUUAUGCAAAAUAUCUUUGCACAUGUGUUCCUGCUCCUCUGACCACUCCAUGCCAUGCGUAGUCCUUGCCUCAUUGGACAUGUUCACUCUCCUGGCGGGCCUCAGUGGCCUGUGGCCGCCAGCGUGCCCUCUUGGUGCCUUCCGGUGCGAGCAGGCGUCGACGGGGCAGAUGGUGGCCCUGUACACUGGUUCCCUGCUCUGCCGGAAUUUCGAAAAUAAGUUUUCAUGAGUUCUUCAAGUUCAGUAGAUUUCGUGUAUGGAUUUCUUUUCCUAGCAUUAACUUUUACUUGUGUUUAUUCGGUUUGUAUGCAAGAAUUCUAGAGCCAUGGAUGCAAGAAAAUAAAUUUGGGUCUGGUAUUCCAAUAUGAGUCAUUUUGAGAAGUGAAAAAUGAAGACUCUUAAUUGCAAACCAGUAACGGAACAAGAAAUAAAAUUUUAUUGAUCCCAAAUGACAAUGGACCUACUCUCUGUUUCUAUAAGUUCAUUUCAUUCUGCAAGCUUCUCCAAUAAUUACCUAUAAGUUUUCAGAUAUAGCAUUGCCAAUCGUCUGAACUAUUGCUUGUGAACAUUGCAGGCAGCGUGAAUAUUCAUGCACUUGAAAAACCUCGGAGAGCUAAGAACAUGGGAGUGCAAGGGCACAUUCUGUAUUCUUGAUAUAAUGGUUUCAAGCCUUUUGAUGGAAGCUCCUGUAUCUUCCUAGCAAGGCUGAUGGACUGUGGUGCUUGGUGGAUGUUGCCCAGCCUUAAAACUCUUAAGUUUUGCAUAAAAACAUCAUCUGAGCUAAUCAAUUUAUGUGAAAACAAAUCAGUAGUGAUUUCGUCCAAUAUAUGGGUUAUUUUGAUGACAGUUUGCUCUCUCCCUAGAUGAUCAAAUCAAAUAUUUUAAUCUCAUUGAACAACUAGAUGAAUUGAGGUGCUAAUCAAAUUAACAUACCCCCACCAGUUUAUUAGGUACUAAUUGAAUUAGUAUGCUCUCAUAGGUUUAUUAGGUGAUAACUAAAACGAACAUUCUUUGACUGACAUUUGGAAGUAAGAUUAAAAACAACCUACAGAACAAACUGGAGAUGGUACACAUCAGAUGGCUCCCUCCCAUGGAGAAUGAACUGAAGAUUAAUAUUGAUGGCACUUUCCACCCUGAACCAAACACUGGUGGUUGGGGUGCAGUCAUCAGGAAUCAUAAAGGAGAGGUAAAAGUAUUUGGGUGCCUAGCUAGGAAUGGAUAAAGGAGUGACAACCAUUGGCCUUGAAACAGAUUCAGUGCUGCUGAAGCAAGGGGUAAACAAUGAUGAAUGUGGCUUAGAGGAGCUCAAGGAAUAUCUGAAGAAAAACUUUGAAGUGUGUCGUUUUACUUCUGCUAGGAGGAAAUGUAAGAAAGUAGGGUCGUUUGCUAGCUAUGGUAGUGCCUUAAGCAUGUAUGAUCAUCUUCAAACAGAUCAUGUAAUUCCACUUGCAUCGGACCUGGUGGCGACUCUUCUCUAAUUUCUGCAUACAUCUCUCCUAGAUAUUUACCACCCUGCUUUUGCAUUAUCUGUUUUCAAACAACAAUAAACUUAGUUCUAUAAAUUCAUAGAACUAAUAUGCCAGUUAGAAUGCGCGAGUAUAUGCACCCUUUGCUUUUAAAUAAAAAGUUGUGUAAAAUAAACUGAUGUGUAAAGCUCGAUCAUUCUAAUUUGUGUUAAUUAAGUACAUAUGUACAUUAUUGAGGGGAUGAUCUAAGGUAAUGAAGCGUAAGGGGAUUAAAUAACGUUUUAUUUAGUAGUUGUGAUCUGUCAUAGAUGGUGAAAAUGACAAUUGCUCAUGUAUUGUUUGUUUUUCUUAAAACAAGAUUCACAUUAUGUCAUCAUUUUGACAUUCUGCUUCAGUAUAUGUCGAUGCAGAUAGAACAAGCACCUGGCAGAUGAAAUUGCUUGGCUAGCGGGUAUUCUGACUUAUUGUAUUAAGAUCAGAUGGUUGCCUCUUCAGCUCUGUAUGCACAUGCACAUAGGGUACGUGAGCAUAGACAGCGCAUGCUGCCGGAGCGGGAGGAUGGGGGCGGAGACCGACCGCCUGCCUAACUCCACGACGUGUGCCGACCACGACCGCUUCGUCUUCUGGGACCGCGGGCAUCCCUCGCAGCGCGCCGGAGAGCUCAGCGCCGCCGCCUACUUCGACGGAGCGGCAGGGUUCACCGCGCCCAUCAGCUUCGACCAGCUAGCUGGCCCAGAAGAUUUAGCUAGCUAGCUAGGUCGGCACUCCACAAGCGCGCAUGCUCCUCUACUCGUGCACGUCGCGUUCAUCUACUUAUUUUUUUACAGAUAUAUACAAUAUAAAAGCUACUGGUAGAUUAAUAAUUAGCCGUGCAACAAAGUAAUUCAGAGUGUCUGAAUGCGAAAUGUCACUCUAAAAUACUGUUUAAAAUACAGUUUAAAAUACUUAUGCGAAAAAUGAGUUCGACGAAGCUGGCCCUAGUUG